UACGUAGGGGGCAAGCGUUGUCCGGAUUUAUUGGGCGUAAAGGGCGCGUAGGCGGUGUUGUAAGUCACCUGUGAAACCUCUGGGCUUAACUCAGAGCCUGCAGGCGAAACUGCAAUGCUGGAGGGUGGGAGAGGUGCGUGGAAUUCCCGGUGUAGCGGUGAAAUGCGUAGAUCUCGGGAGGGACACCUGUGGCGAAAGCGGCGCACUGGACCACUACUGACGCUGAGGCGCGAAAGCUAGGGGAGCAAACAGG
rnacentral:rRNA from 1 species